CUCUGACUUCUUUAUAUACAGUCAGCUCUUGAAUAUUUGCUCCAGUGGAGGGAAACAGAGGCAUGGAUAAUCCAAACUGAAACAAUCCCCAAAACAUUUAUAUUUGCCUUUGGGUACUUACCUUUGAAUGUGGGUAUGUCUUUUAUUUGCAUUGACUAAAUAAUAUAAAACCAUGCUCUGAAGACUUAGAGCAAGAGGAGCUAGCCAGCAUCCUUCCCUGCAACCCAUUCAUUUCAUGCUGGGACUACACAUGCAGAAUAUUAAUGUUACUAUUCGAGCUUCCGUUGCACCUCUUCAAUCGGGAUCUUCAGUUACACCUUCUAUCAGUGCAAGCACUUCUACCCUCCAGCUCUCACCUCCAAGGACUGAAAAUGUAACUGCUAAAAAUCACGUGAAACUGAAUACAAGUACACCAAAUACAACCAUAUCUGAUCCCAGUAAAACUAAUGAGAUCAAGUCUAAUGGAAGUAAAUCUAAAAACAGGUCAAAAGUCUCCAAUAUGCAGAAGAAACAAAGCACAUUGUCUAAUAGUAAUAAAAAAAGUAAAGUGAACACAGCACUAAGAAACUUAAGGUUACGUCGGGGUGUUCACGAGUGUAUUGAGUGUUCUUCUGAAGUAAAAGAUUUUGCAAACCAUUUUCCUACAUAUGUCCACUGUAGUUUUUGCAGAUAUAACACUAGCUGUAGCAAAGCCUAUGUAAAUCAUAUGAUGAGCUUUCACAGUAACCGUCCAAGUAAAAGAUAUUGUAUAUUUAAGAAGCAUUCAGAAAAUCUCAGGGGCAUUUCUCUAGUGUGCCUUAAUUGUGAUUUCCUAACUGACGUUUCUGGCUUAGAUAAUAUGGCCACACACUUAAGUCAACAUGAAACUCAUACUUGCCAAGUUCUAGUAGAGAAAGUUUCUGUUUGUAUCCCAACUUCUGAACGUCUUUCUGAAUUAAAAACUGAAGCUCCCACUAAGGGACAAGAAUCUGUGUCUAAGGAAACAGCAAGACAUAGUACAGCUGAAAGAGAACCAGGAGCAUCACAUUCUGAAAGUAAGCAGGAUAAAGCUCCUCCAUCAGAAGACGACACUGGGCGUGAUGCAAGUGUAUGUGAAGCUGCAGCAGCAGCAAACCGUGAAAGAAAUGUGACCGCUUCAGACACAGAAGACGUACGCACCUCUAAUGACGUCUUGAGUCGUGGUCCAGAGGUUGGAACAGAUAAUAUGGAAAAGGAAGAGCAAGCACAUCACACCUGUCAGGAAAUGGAGCUGAAGAGGGACCAAAGUUCAGAAAGCACAGAUGAUCAGAGUAAAGAGCACAGUCCCACUGAAGCUGAGUUGUCUUCAGAGAUUAGUCAGGAUUUACAGCUAACACCGGAAGGUGUUGGCCUUGGUCAGUGUCUGAGGCAGGGGGAGGAACCUGAAUCUGUGAAUUCUGAUGCUAGUGAGCAAGACAGCGUUCGUUUGGAACCUUUGACGCCAUCAGAAGUCCUGGAGUUUGAAGCCACAGAGGUCUGCCAUAGUGGUGAAGACCCUUCAGCCAGCACCAGUGACGCAGUAUCUGGUGGGACAGGUGGCAGUCCUGGAGGAAGUAGCCCUCGUAGAGCAGAGUCAGCAGCAGACCUGGCAGGCGGACAGGAAGGAAGCUGAACGACAAGGCAUUCCAUGUUUCAUUCCCAACAGAAAGCACUUAGAACUGUCCGGUGAGCUCAGGAGUGCUGUGCUAGAGGUCAGCAGUGGGAGGUCGAGAGAGGUCCGUCAUACACUUCAUCUGUACGUUCAAUCUUAUUAAAUCAGUUUACCAGUAACAGCAUGGUUAGUAUGGAUUUCCACGUUUUUAAAAACCUGAACAGAACUUUAGUGAAAACUAAGUUUGUCAUCCAAGGGUCUCUUAGCACUUUUUGAUAAAAUCUUGUUUACCAAUAUGAAAUUAUUAUAAGAUAGCUAUGCUCAUCAGACUUUUCAAACUUUCAUUAGUACUAAACUUAAAGUCCUCAUCAUCUGAAUAUUCCUUUUAGUAAACUUAAAGGAAGAGAUUUAAAACCAUGUAUUUUUUUGAAAAUACCUUUGAACUGCCAAUCAAUUGUUACUGUUAAUAAAGGCUUUGUUUUUACUAUGAUCCUGGUAAUAAAGCAUGCUUAGAGUGCUAAAUUGGCCUGUUAAGAACUUGGAUGAAUAUGAAAAUUAAGUUUGGACUUAAUAUAACAUUCCAAUCUGUCAGAAGCAUGCAAACAGAAUUUUAGAAUCUGUGCGCCUCCAUGCAAGUGUUAGCCUGCCAGGCUGUCAGCUUACCUUUAUUAAACUUUCAGUGAAAGUGAAAUUAUGAAAAUAUAAGUUUAUAUUUGUGCUUUUAGUCAGUGUAUAAGCUGUGCAGAACCCCACCCCAGUCCCCAUGGACUAGUUGUAUAAAGUAGAAAUCUGUUAUUGAAACUCUUAAAUAGCUACUAUGCUUUUAAUAUUGUUUCAAUGAUUUUUAGCAGUAGACCCAUAAAAAUGGUCUGGAAACCAAACCAAAGUAUGGUAGAAUGUAGGCAAAAGGAAUUGAACUAAAAACAUGCCUUCGCAUGUACUCAACUAUGUUAAGGGACGUCCUCAAUUGUAAAAGUAGAGACUUCUAAUGGGACCCUAAAGCAUAUGUUC
rnacentral:lncRNA from 1 species